AGUGAACGCUGGCGGUAGGCCUAACACAUGCAAGUCGAACGGCAGCACAGGAGAGCUUGCUCUCUGGGUGGCGAGUGGCGGAUGGGUGAGGAAUACAUCGGAAUCUACUCUGUCGUGGGGGAUAACGUAGGGAAACUUACGCUAAUACCGCAUACGACCUACGGGUGAAAGCAGGGGACCUUCGGGCCUUGCGCGAUUGACUGAGCCGAUGUCGGAUUAGCUAGUUGGCGGGGUAAAGGCCAACCAAGGCGACGAUCCGUAGCUGGUCUGAGAGGAUGAUCAGCCAAACUGGAACUGAGACACGGUCCAGACUCCUACGGGAGGCAGCAGUGGGGAAUAUUGGACAAUGGGCGCAAGCCUGAUCCAGCCAUACCGCGUGGGUGAAGAAGGCCUUCGGGUUGUAAAGCCCUUUGUUGGGAAAGAAAUCCAGCUGGCUAAUACCCGGUUGGGAUGACGGUACCCAAAGAAUAAGCACCGGCUAACUUCGUGCCAGCCGCCGCCGUAA
rnacentral:rRNA from 1 species